UUAAGCGACUAAGCGUACACGGUGGAUGCCUAGGCAGUCAGAGGCGAUGAAGGGCGUGCUAAUCUGCGAAAAGCGUCGGUAAGGUGAUAUGAACCGUUACAACCGACGAUACCCGAAUGGGGAAACCCAGUGCAAUUCGUUGCACUAUUGCAUGGUGAAUACAUAGCCAUGCAAGGCGAACCGGGGGAACUGAAACAUCUAAGUACCCCGAGGAAAAGAAAUCAACCGAGAUUCCCCCAGUAGCGGCGAGCGAACGGGGAGGAGCCCAGAACCUGAAUCAGCGUAUGUGUUAGUGGAAGCGUCUGGAAAGUCGCACGGUACAGGGUGAUAGUCCCGUACACAAAAAUGCAUAUGUUGUGAGUUCGAUGAGUAGGGCGGGACACGUGACAUCCUGUCUGAAUAUGGGGGGACCAUCCUCCAAGGCUAAAUACUCCUGACUGACCGAUAGUGAACCAGUACCGUGAGGGAAAGGCGAAAAGAACCCCGGCGAGGGGAGUGAAAUAGAACCUGAAACCGUGUACGUACAAGCAGUGGGAGCACCUUCGUGGUGUGACUGCGUACCUUUUGUAUAAUGGGUCAGCGACUUAUAUUUUGUAGCAAGGUUAACCGAAUAGGGGAGCCGUAGGGAAACCGAGUCUUAACUGGGCGAAUAGUUGCAAGGUAUAGACCCGAAACCCGGUGAUCUAGCCAUGGGCAGGUUGAAGGUUGGGUAACACUAACUGGAGGACCGAACCGACUAAUGUUGAAAAAUUAGCGGAUGACUUGUGGCUGGGGGUGAAAGGCCAAUCAAACCGGGAGAUAGCUGGUUCUCCCCGAAAGCUAUUUAGGUAGCGCCUCGUGAACUCAUCUUCGGGGGUAGAGCACUGUUUCGGCUAGGGGGUCAUCCCGACUUACCAAACCGAUGCAAACUCCGAAUACCGAAGAAUGUUAUCACGGGAGACACACGGCGGGUGCUAACGUCCGUCGUGAAGAGGGAAACAACCCAGACCGCCAGCUAAGGUCCCAAAGUCAUGGUUAAGUGGGAAACGAUGUGGGAAGGCAUAGACAGCCAGGAUGUUGGCUUAGAAGCAGCCAUCAUUUAAAGAAAGCGUAAUAGCUCACUGGUCGAGUCGGCCUGCGCGGAAGAUGUAACGGGGCUAAACCAUGCACCGAAGCUGCGGCAGCGACACUUAGGUGUUGUUGGGUAGGGGAGCGUUCUGUAAGCCGUUGAAGGUGACCUGUGAGGGUUGCUGGAGGUAUCAGAAGUGCGAAUGCUGACAUAAGUAACGAUAAUGCGGGUGAAAAACCCGCACGCCGGAAGACCAAGGGUUCCUGUCCAACGUUAAUCGGGGCAGGGUGAGUCGACCCCUAAGGCGAGGCUGAAAAGCGUAGUCGAUGGGAAACAGGUUAAUAUUCCUGUACUUGGUGUUACUGCGAAGGGGGGACGGAGAAGGCUAGGCUAGCCGGGCGACGGUUGUCCCGGUUUAAGCAUGUAGGCGGAGCGACUUGGUAAAUCCGGUUGCUUAUCAACGCUGAGGUGUGAUGACGAGCCACUACGGUGGUGAAGUAGUUGAUGCCAAGCUUCCAGGAAAAGCCUCUAAGCAUCAGGUAACAUUAAAUCGUACCCCAAACCGACACAGGUGGUCAGGUAGAGAAUACUCAGGCGCUUGAGAGAACUCGGGUGAAGGAACUAGGCAAAAUGGUGCCGUAACUUCGGGAGAAGGCACGCUGGCAUUAGGUAAAGAGACUUGCUCUCGGCGCCGAAGCCAGUCGCAGAUACCAGCUGGCUGCAACUGUUUAAUAAAAACACAGCACUGUGCAAACACGAAAGUGGACGUAUACGGUGUGACGCCUGCCCGGUGCUGGAAGGUUAAUUGAUGGGGUCAGCCGCAAGGCGAAGCUCUUGAUCGAAGCCCCAGUAAACGGCGGCCGUAACUAUAACGGUCCUAAGGUAGCGAAAUUCCUUGUCGGGUAAGUUCCGACCUGCACGAAUGGCGUAAUGAUGGCCAGGCUGUCUCCACCCGAGACUCAGUGAAAUUGAACUCGCUGUGAAGAUGCAGUGUACCCGCGGCAAGACGGAAAGACCCCGUGAACCUUUACUAUAGCUUGACACUGAACAUUGAGCCUUGAUGUGUAGGAUAGGUGGGAGGCAUUGAAGUGUGGACGCCAGUCUGCAUGGAGCCAACCUUGAAAUACCACCCUUUAAUGUUUGAUGUUCUAACUCGGCCCCAUAAUCUGGGGUGAGGACAGUGUCUGGUGGGUAGUUUGACUGGGGCGGUCUCCUCCCAAAGAGUAACGGAGGAGCACGAAGGUUAGCUAAUCACGGUCGGACAUCGUGAGGUUAGUGCAAAGGCAUAAGCUAGCUUGACUGCGAGAGUGACGGCUCGAGCAGGUACGAAAGUAGGUCUUAGUGAUCCGGUGGUUCUGAAUGGAAGGGCCAUCGCUCAACGGAUAAAAGGUACUCCGGGGAUAACAGGCUGAUACCGCCCAAGAGUUCAUAUCGACGGCGGUGUUUGGCACCUCGAUGUCGGCUCAUCACAUCCUGGGGCUGAAGUAGGUCCCAAGGGUAUGGCUGUUCGCCAUUUAAAGUGGUACGCGAGCUGGGUUUAGAACGUCGUGAGACAGUUCGGUCCCUAUCUGCCGUGGGCGUUGGAAGAUUGAGAGGGGCUGCUCCUAGUACGAGAGGACCGGAGUGGACGAAUCACUGGUGUUCGGGUUGUCAUGCCAAUGGCAUUGCCCGGUAGCUAAAUUCGGAAGAGAUAACCGCUGAAAGCAUCUAAGCGGGAAACUUGCCUCGAGAUGAGUCUUCCCUGGGGCUUUAAGCCCCCUGAAGGAACGUUAAAGACUAUGACGUUGAUAGGCUGGGUGUGUAAGUGCAGCGAUGCAUUGAGCUAACCAGUACUAAUGAUCCGUGAGGCUUAACCUU
rnacentral:rRNA from 1 species